rnacentral:lncRNA from 10 species
AUAUAUGAAGCAAUGGUUUGCAGACAUUGGACAACUGUCAUUAUAGACCAUGAAGAUAUUAAUAAUCCUGAUAUUGAGAAAAGAUAACCAAGUGUGAUGAGCCCUAUGAUUUUUGUGACUUUUUCUCUAGAGGCAUUCUCCAGCCCAUGGUGUAGGUGGUGGGGGAUUCCCAAGUAUAGAAUGGUGAUCUCUCUGAAAAGUUGAAUAUGCAGUAGUUCAAACUACAGAAUGAAGUGCAGAGAGAGAAAAAAGAAAAAGAAUGGAAAAAAAAAUAGAUACUCAGGGGCUUGUGAUAAAUAUCAGAUAGUGUUAAAUCCUGAAGUGAGAA